AUUGAACGCUGGCGGCAGGCUUAACACAUGCAAGUCGAACGAGUGGCGGACGGGUGAGUAAUGUCUCGGCAACUGCCCGGUGGAGGGGGAUAACUACUGGAAACGGUAGCUAAUACCGCAUACUAUCGGAUGUGCCCAGAUGGGAUUAGCUAGUAGGUGGGGUAAUGGCUCACCAAGGCGCCGAUCCCUAGCUGGUGUGAGAGGAUGACCAGCCACACUGGAACGAGGAACCGGUCCAGACUCCUACGGGAGGCAGCAGUGGGGAAAAUUGCACAAUGGGCGCAAGCCUGAUCCAGCCAUCCCGCGGGUAUGAGGAAGGCUUUUGGGUUGUAAAGUACUUUCGGCAGGGAGGCGUUACUCGCAGAAGAAGCACCGGCUAACUCCGUGCCAGCAGCCGCGGUAAUUC
rnacentral:rRNA from 1 species